AACACUGUUAACCUGCGGUACCUGCGGAAGGAUCAUUAACGCGUCUCCGACGGCGAGGGCGCGCCCCAGCUCCGGGCCGAAAGGCCGCGCUGCGGGGCGGCCCGAGCCGCUCGACCUUUGCGAACCCGCUGUGCACUUUUGUCGGCAGAGGCCCCCCCGGGGCCCGAGCCGGAAUCACAAACCCACUCGAAUCGAACGCUGAGCGGCCCCCGUGCCGCCUAAACUUUGACAACUUUUAAC
rnacentral:misc_RNA from 1 species